rnacentral:rRNA from 1 species
GAUGAACGCUGGCGGCGUGCCUAAUACAUGCAAGUCGAACGAAGAAUGUAGCAAUACUUUCUUAGUGGCGAACGGGUGAGUAACGCGUUGGUGACCUGCCCCGAAGAGGGGGAUAACAGUUCGAAAGAGCUGCUAAUACCCCAUGUGGUCAUUAGGAUUAGAUGCCUUUUGACUAAACGGAUUUAUUCGCUUUGGGAGGGACCUGCGUCCCAUCAGCUAGUUGGUAGGGUAACGGCCUACCAAGGCUAUGACGGGUAGGGGACCUGAGAGGGUGGCCCCCCACAAUGGAACUGAAACACGGUCCAUACACCUACGGGUGGCUG